UACGAAGGGGGCUAGCGUUGCUCGGAAUCACUAGGCGUAAAGGGUGCGUAGGCGGGUCUUAAGUCAGGGGUGAAAUCCUGGAGCUCAACUCCAGAACUGCCUUUGAUACUGAGGAUCUUGAGUUCGGGAGAGGUGAGUGGAACUGCGAGUGUAGAGGUGAAAUUCGUAGAUAUUCGGAAGAACACCAGUGGCGAAGGCGGCUCACUGGACUGGUAUUGACGCUGAGGUGCGAAAGCGUGGGGAGCAAACAGGG
rnacentral:rRNA from 1 species